CUCUAUGGUCCUCCCUGUGCUUUGUAUAUGGGUUAAGGCCAGGGAGCGCUUCGUGGUAAAAUAGCUAGUUGGUGUCUCACAAACGGGCAUUUUUUGCACUGGUCCGUUAUAAGCUGCCACUAUUAUAGCCAAUUUUUCAGUGCCAGUGUACAUACACAGUUCUACUAUUAAUUAGUUUCCUUAAGCCUUACAAAAUUUAACUGUAGGUAGUCAGUGCUAUGUAAGAACUCACAAAUUAACUAUGUUGUGUCAUACGAGUAUUCCAUGCAUGAGCAAAAUUUGCUACAACAGUAUACAAUACACCUUGCUUCCCUAAUGCACCAAUAUAUUCAAGCCAGUAUGUGAUUAGUUCUGUAUUCUAAAUGUUUUCUGUGUGAUUUAGUUUCUUACAGGAAGUUACUGUACAGCAUCAGCAAGCAGUCUCAUUUAUGUGGGCUGUAAAUGGUAUUCUUUGCCGCUACAAUACGAGGACGAACUUCAAUUUCCCUCUAUCACCGUCAGCACUUGGCUCGCGCUUGCAAAAUGAAUCACAUCAGGUAUUGCUUGCCUAUGUCUGCAAGAACUGUUGUGUCGAGACAAGAACCUUCACGCGUGGCCUGUGACAGCAAGCUUUUGUGGGCAGCCAGUGCUCUCCUACGAAGGCUGGCCUGCUCUGGCCGGCAAUCAUCUUCAAGAUUUGUGCAUGAUCCCCUUUGCUGCUAUUUGUCACUCUUGUUAAUUACGCUUUCUGCAUCUUUUCUAAUUUAUUAGGUAAUAAAGUAUGACUAUGUGACAUGG